rnacentral:rRNA from 1 species
UACGUAGGGUCCGAGCGUUGUCCGGAAUUAUUGGGCGUAAAGAGCUCGUAGGCGGUUUGUCGCGUCUGCUGUGAAAUCCCGAGGCUCAACCUCGGGUCUGCAGUCGAUACGAGCAAACUAGAGUGUUGCAGGGGAGACUGGAAUUCCUGGUGUAGCGGUGAAAUGCGCAGAUAUCAGGAGGAACACCGGUGGCGAAGGCGGGUCUCUGGGCAACAACUGACGCUGAGGAGCGAAAGCGUGGGGAGCAAACAGG